CUUGCAAUCCUCCUGCCUCAGCCUCCCAGAGUGCAGGAUUACAGGAAUGUACCAGUACACCCGGCUUUCUUUCUCCACUUUUUUUUCUUUUUUGGAGGCAGGGUCUCUCUAUGAACUCGCUGGUGAUCCUUCUGCCUCAGCCUCUCCAGUGCUGAGAUUACAGCAGGGAUGCUCCACACCCAGGUCCUUUUUCACUUUUUUGACCCUCUUCCUUUGUGACUCUGAGUGUCCCAGGCCCCUUGCCACCCCCCCACCCCCCACUGUACGUAGAAAGCUUGCGGAUGGGCUCUCCACACCCCCAAUACCACCCCACACACAGCGCGGGUGGCUGCCUCUCCCAGCUGUGCAUUGCCUGAUGCUGUGGAGUGGGGAGGAAGAGGCCCACCGAGACCGGGGAUUGGCCUGACCCCUUCUCUGCCCCAAGAAUGUAUGGCAUGGUGCGCGCCCCCCCCCCCCCCAGUCUCGCUAUGUAUCCUACACUGUCCUCAAACUCAAGGCAAUCCUCCUGUCUCAGCCUCCAGGGUGCUGGGAUUACAGGCAUGCCCACCACUGGCUUGGGUUCUUUCUUCUCCAGUCAGAAGGUAGCUUGGUUAUCCUUUUGGGGAGCUCCCUUUUUUUCUUUCCUCCCACCUGCUGCAAAUCACAGCCCCUGUUCUGGAAGAAUCCUCUUUUCACAGCAGGGCAGUGCUUAUUUCCUCCUCAAAUACAUUCUUAUGCAAGGAAGAGGUGAUAGGGAUCGGAGAGUCAUUUCACCCCCACGUGCCCAGUCCCCUUAUCAGCCUAGAGAAUCUCCAGCUUGAAGGGGUGGGAGGUGGUGGUGGUGGAACUGGGGAGCAGUCACUAACUUCUCUUUCCCUUCCUCCCCACCCCUAAACCACGCAAACCACUCAAGGCAAACUCAGCCUGCCCGUCCAGGGAGGGCCUGGGGGCAAAAUAUGUGGGGCACGGGCAGUCUGCCCAAGGGGUGGAGAGCACCUCUUCAGGAGCCUAAUCUGGUGACUAGGGGCCACCUUCUUUGGGUUCUUGUGACCACUCCGGUGCCUGACCAUCACAAAAGGAGCAGCGAAGGCCUAUAAACGUUGUAGCCUUGGCCCUGCCCAUUCCUAUGGAGAAGACCACUGUGGGCCGAGUCUGACCCUAGCUCCCAGGCCUGAACUUUCCUGGUGACUCUGCUUGUGCCUCUUAUCCGUCUAAGUCCACAUGGAUUUAGAGACAGCAGGGAGGGUUGGAAAGUGGGAGCAGUGAGUUUGGAGUGGAAAGAGUUACAGGAAUGUGGUCUGCUGUGUAUUAGCUGUAGUCCCUGAGGCAAAUCACAGCCCUCUGGGACUGAGACCGGAGAUCAGGCACAGCAAAGCUGGCUGGGGAAGUAGGCGUGACCUGUUAAUUACAGAAUCCCAGGGCACGUGGGGCAGAAAUGGUUCCCAGAGCCCUGCUCCUCGGCUUCUUCCAAUCCGAAGGUUUUCCACCGGACAGCCUGGGCUUGACAUCAGUUGGCCUGGGGUGUGAGUGAUACUAACAGGAUGGUCUGCACAGAGCUUUUGCCACCAUGUUUGCUCUCUCGCUGUGGCUGUGGGGGCACUCUUUCCUACCUAUACUUGGCCAACACUCACUCUGCAGAGCCUGUUUCUUCUCCUACCUUUAAUAAAACUUCGCUACCGUUUGUGCUUGUCUUGAUCUAUUCUUUGUUCAGGACAGAAAGAACCUAGAAACCACCUCCCGAAGGAGACUCCAACACCCCAAACCCAGAAACAUGACCACUUCAGUAUAAGGGGCAGUGUUUCAGGGCUGAGGAGUUUGCACCCAGGAGGGGUCCUCGGGACUUCCUUCUGCUGACUCUGGCUGGCAACACGGACUUUGCACGCACCCUGACCUUGAGACUGUGAAUGCCAGGUGAAUUCUCCCAGCCUCCCCUGACCCUCGAGGGGUGAGGCUGGGUUUUGGGUACAGCCAUCUUCAGAAACCUUCCCUGCAGCCAAGGCUGAUUCUCAGGCAAGUUUACCUAACCUCUCUGGUCUGUUUCCUCGUUUGUAAAUUGGGAAUAAUCACACUUACCUUACGGAGUGGGGUUACUGAGAUACGGCUGUCGGGUAAAGUACAGGACCAGUACAGUACAAAGUACUGUGGUUAAAAAACUGUGCUUAGGGACAGGGAUUUAGAUCAGUGGUUCUGCCGCCUGGCUCGCAAGCGCAAGGUCCAGAGUUUGAUCCCCGGUACCAAAAAAAAAAAGUGCUUUAUUCCCUCCCUCUCUUUUUUUUUUUCCUAUAAUCUGGCUUCUCUUUGUCUGACUCCCUUUUCUGUUCUCUUUCCUGCUUUGUUUUUCUGUUCUAUAUCACCUGGUAGCAUUGUGUACAUUCUUACCUGUUGAUUUUGUAACUUGUCUGAUCCCUACGUUUGUUUUGACUGCUGACACCUCAUAGAAUUUUCCUAAGUUUUCCUUAUGGAAUACGAAGUUUUUUUCCAAAUCCUUUCCAACCCAGUUCUUCACUCAGGGUUGUUGUGGGAGGAUUUGGGGGCCGAAGCAAAAAUACAGUACAGGGCUAGGGAUAGAGCUAGACUUAUGGAUGGACAUCGCAGAAUUCACACAUGCAAGUUCACACUGCCAGCUGUGAAAUGACCAGAGAACUAUCUUCCUGAGGAACUGGGACCCUUCCAGAGUUACCUGGUGGAGAGCAGAGUCGCAGCAGUUGGCAGUUGAGUUGUACAUAUUAGAGGUGAUAAGGAAUCCAGAUUCUCAAGCCAGACUCUCUGGGGUCAAGUUCCAGUUCUACUCUUUAUUAGGCCCGAGGUCACAAAGGAUGACAGGAGUAUUUGCACCCUUAUGAGAGUUGCUGGGAGGAACAAAUGUCCUGACAAACUGCGGCAACAGUUCUUGUACAAGUCUAGAGCCUGUAGCGUUUAAGGACGUUUGUUUGGUCAAUGCUACCACCUGGUGGACACCUUGGGCAAAGUCUCCCUCGCCUUGGGCUCAGGGGUAGGGAUCUAAUCAGGGAAGGAACGGAGGAGCGGUCUGAAUGGAAGGCGUAGCGUGUGUGUGUGUGUGUGUGUGUGUGUGUGUGUGUGUGUGUGUGUGUGUGUGUAGAGGUUCAUAUGCUAUGGUGCUGAGGUUUUGUUGGGACCCAGCAGGCUUAGCCCUGGUGCACAGCUGGCACCAGGGGAAAUGAAAAAGAGUCAAGGGGGAGGGAGAUUUUCCCUCCCUCCUCCUCCAUGCCGGACCUGAGCCAAAAGGAACCAGUUCCUGGGAAUGUGGGAGUAGAGAGCAGAAUGUCACCGCUGACGCCAGGGAUCUUCAGGUAGGAGUUUGGAGUCCGGAGGACUCCCUCCCUCCGCGGUGCGGGAUGCCCCGGCGACAGCUUCCCGGACCGACCGAGCCAUCCUUCCUUCCGCGCCCCUCCCGCCUCCUCUGGCGCCUCCCUCAAGGCGCUCCUGGCCUUCUCAAGUUGUUCCCGGCCGGAAAAAGGCCUCACCUCUGCUCCUGGGAGCCGGCGGACACGGCUGACCCGAGGACACCUGAGGACGGCUCCUCAGCUCUGGUUAGUGGCACCCCAGCACUGAGUCACGGGAGCGCGAUACUGCAGACUUCUGCCUGGGAGUCGGAGCCGUGACAGUCUCCGGGUGCGUCCGCAGCACAGCGCAGGCCUUACCUGUGGGCGGCUGCUGGAUCCUGGCCUUGGCUUCUGGCCCCAGGCUUGCGGAGUCCUAGGGAAGCAGCUUCCUCUCCAGCGUGUUCCCCUAGCCCUCUCCUUCUGGGAGGAGCUGGCAGGGGCCUCCGUGCCUACGUCUGACUUCUUUUCCUGGACAAACACAGCUCUUGUCUCUGAGGCCGGCAGCCUGGCCUCCUCAGCUUCUUCCUCCAGCCAGAGCCAGGUUUCUAGCAGCGACCUCUAGAUCCCGACUCGGGCCACCCGGGCUUGGGGGAGACCGCCUUCAGAGGACAUGGGCCCAUUCCUCAGUGCGGCGGGGGGCCUCGCCCGGCCUCCUGUGAGAAGGCCGCGGCCAUGGCCAUACAAAGCCCUCUUCUGCAAGUCCCUCCUUGCUGGACUCCUGCCUUGGCCCCGGAUGCUGAGUUCCGGAGCCAUCCCAGGAGCUCUCAGGCAGUCGGUCACUAGGCAGGGUGACCAGGUCUCCUAAUUUUAACAGCCCAAAGAAAAGUGGCUCAGUCUUUCUGGACAUAGAGACCCUGAGGACAGAGCUGGUUCCCAUGACCAUCGGGCCGGGCUGGCCUAUGCCCUCCACCUUAGGCAGAUGAUAGGAAGCACCAGGGAUGCAGAGAAUGGAGAAACAGACAACAGAUACGCAACAAGAACCUCAAGACAAGUUGUGAAAUGCAGGGAACAAGAUGAAACAAAGCAGUUAAUGCGAUGAUAAUUCUGUCAUUGAUACGUGAGUGUUUUGACAGCAAGUAUUUCUUGUGUGGAGCUUCUUGGUGCCCCCCGGCCUUGCAUUCCUGUAGUCCUGAUUCAGCUCAGUCCUGGUGCUGUUUCUGUUGAGUCUCCCCCAAUUGCUGUAACCAAAAGCUCAUCUUUUGGGCAUUGGUUGGAUGGACUGGGGAUCUGGGCUUUGCAACUCACUAGCUUUGUGACCUCUAGCAUGUAACGUUCUCUCUUUACCGGGUUGGUAAAUAAAAUAAACCUAACUCUCAGAGUCAA